rnacentral:rRNA from 1 species
AGAGUUUGAUCCUGGCUCAGGAUCAACGCUGGCGGCGUGCCUCAGACAUGCAAGUCGAACGAUUAAGACUUCCUUCGGGAAGUGCAUAAAGUGGCGCACGGGUGAGUAACACGUAAGUAAUCUACCCUCGAGUGGGGAAUAACGUUCGGAAACGGACGCUAAUACCGCAUAACGCAGCGGCACCGCAAGGUGACAGUUGUUAAAGGAGCAAUCCGCUUGAGGAGGAGCUUGCGGCAGAUUAGCUAGUUGGUAGGGUAAUGGCUUACCAAGGCUACGAUCUGUAUCCGGUCUAAGAGGACGGUCGGACACACUGACACUGAAUAACGGGUCAGACUCCUACGGGAGGCAGCAGUCGGGAAUUUUGGGCAAUGGGCGAAAGCCUGACCAGCAACGCCGCGUGAAGGAUGAAGUAUUUCGGUAUGUAAACUUCGAAAGAAUAGGAAGAAUAAAUGACGGUACUAUUUAUAAGCUCCGGCUAACUACGUGCCAGCAGCCGCGGUAAUACGUAGGGAGCAAGCGUUGUUCGGAUUUACUGGGCGUAAAGGGCGCGUAGGCGGCGCGGUAAGUCACUUGUGAAAUCUCUGAGCUUAACUCAGAACGGCCAAGUGAUACUGCAGUGCUAGAGUGCAGAAAGGGCAAUCGGAAUUCUUGGUGUAGCGGUGAAAUGCGUAGAUAUCAAGAGGAACACCUGAGGCGAAGGCGGGUUGCUAGGCUGACACUGACACUGAGGCGCGAAAGCCAGGGGAGCAAACGGGAUUAGAUACCCCGGUAGUCCUGGCCCUAAACGAUGAAUACUUGGU